rnacentral:tRNA from 1 species
ACCUGGCUGGCUCAGUCAGAAGAGCCUGCAACUCUAAAUCUCAGGGUUGUGAGUUCAAGUCCCAUGUUGGGUA